rnacentral:rRNA from 1 species
CUUAACACAUGCAAGUCGAGGGGCAGCAUGAUUUGUAGCAAUACAGAUUGAUGGCGACCGGCGCACGGGUGAGUAACGCGUAUGCAACUUACCUAUCAGAGGGGGAUAGCCCGGCGAAAGUCGGAUUAAUACCCCAUAAAACAGGGGUCCCGCAUGGGAAUAUUUGUUAAAGAUUCAUCGUUGAUAGAUAGGCAUGCGUUCCAUUAGGCAGUUGGCGGGGUAACGGCCCACCAAACCGACGAUGGAUAGGGGUUCUGAGAGGAAGGUCCCCCACAUUGGUACUGAGACACGGACCAAACUCCUACGGGAGGCAGCAGUGAGGAAUAUUGGUCAAUGGCCGAGAGGCUGAACCAGCCAAGUCGCGUGAAGGAAGAAGGAUCUAUGGUUUGUAAACUUCUUUUAUAGGGGAAUAAAGUGGAGGACGUGUCCUUUUUUGUAUGUACCCUAUGAAUAAGCAUCGGCUAACUCCGUGCCAGCAGCCGCGGUAAUACGGAGGAUGCGAGCGUUAUCCGGAUUUAUUGGGUUUAAAGGGUGCGUAGGUGGUGAUUUAAGUCAGCGGUGAAAGUUUGUGGCUCAACCAUAAAAUUGCCGUUGAAACUGGGUUACUUGAGUGUGUUUGAGGUAGGCGGAAUGCGUGGUGUAGCGGUGAAAUGCAUAGAUAUCACGCAGACUCCGAUUGCGAAGGCAGCUUACUA